GCCUGUAGUCAAGCGGUUAAGAUACAUGCCUGCGACCUAUGAGGUUGGUGGUUCAAGCCCAGUCCCCCA